GCUGGUGUAGCACAGGGGUAGUGCAGCUGAUUCGUAAUCAGCAGGUCAAGAGUUCAAAUCUCUUCACCAGCUCCA
rnacentral:tRNA from 2 species